GCCCUCCGUCUCGCGCGUUCGCCUCCUCUCUCUCUCUCGCACGUCACCCCUUCUCACUCUCUUCCGCACGCUGCCCCUUUUCUCUCUCCCGCACGACAACCCCUCUCUCCCACGUGUCCCCAUUUUUUUCUCUUUCCACCCGUCACCCUCUCUCUCGAUCUUUCUCUCCCGUGCUACAUCCUCUCCCUCUCUACCAUGCAUCGCCCUCCCUCGCUUGCCCCUGCGCAACGAUUUUCUCUCUUUCUCCCGACACGCCAUUGCCUCAAUCUUGACAACUCUUUCAUGGGAAUUAUCAAGAAGAGUUUGAGCCAUUUCUAAAAUUCAAGGAAUCAAGUGUGUCAAUAUUCUAUUUACCAAGGUAUGUUGUUAUUUCUCAUCUUUGUGGAGUUUGGUUAAAUUUGAAAUCCUUGCUCUUAGUUAUUCCAUCCUGAAUUAGUUGUAUUCUUGAUUUCAUUAUUUUAAACUCAUUCUAUAUUCUUAAGUCAUAGAUCCUUUAUUUAGGCAAUUAAUGGUCCUUGCCAUUCUUCACCCGCAGGAUUGACAACUCUCUUAGUGGCAAUUCUCUUAACUAAAGUCAAGUUAUUGUGAGAUUACACUUGAGGUAUCAAUUUAUGUGAAAAUUUUAUCCCUUGCACCUCCAUCCCGCAUCAGAAGUGAAUCUAGGUCAAAUGAAUUUGGUUGAAGCACCAUAAAAUCUAGUGUUAACUUUCUUGUAUUUAUUUAAUUUUAUAUUUAUAUAUUGAUAUAAAUAAAUAAAUGAGAUGUUAAUAUAUACAAAAAAUAAGAAAAAAAUGGUAGCCAACUAGGGACCUACAUAAUUUCCCUUCUAGUUGACUAUAUGGUGGAGGAUGUACCCAAGCCCCACCAUUGAAGACCACGACAUCAGUGGACUCCAUGUCACCUCCUCCAACAACCACGCCAACUAUCAAAGCCACCCCACGUCACCACCACCAGACCUAAGUGAAGGAUCUGAAUUUCUAUUAUUACUAGGCUUUAUUAUGCUUAAUUUUCCUUAAUUUAUUUAUGUUACAUUAUAAUCCUUCUGAUUAUAAAUAUGCCUAAGAUCUCUAUGAAAUGGUUGCCUAACCUUUGGUUAAGAAUUAUCAAAUGCAAAGACUAUGCCUUAAAGGACCCUUGUGAUUGCCGCCACCACUAUCUUGUGGGUCCCACCCUAUCUCGUGGAAAACUUUUCCCUCUCAUUGGUGGCUGGACAUCCCCUCUGCAAGCCUUCAUGCACCUGAUGACAUGCUGAUGAUUGUCCAUCAGAGUGCCGGCAGUGCGCUACGUACGCACAUCCCACGGAUGUUUGUGCACCCCAUCCCUCUUCCAACGAACCAAAGCGUCCAACACACCUAGCAUACAUGCCACCACACCCUACCUUGUGCACCAGCCUCCAGCCCUAGACAACCACCACACACACCCUGUGCAGCCUUCUUCAACCAUCAUUUGAAUUUAGUUUCAGGGUGCUGCCUUGAACCCCACAAGGGGGUGGCUUCCCACUUGGUCCCCCCUAACUAACCGCGUAGUUGGAUCCACGAUGGGCUCAUCCCCCUUUGAUCAGCCUCAACAUCAACAUUGUGGCAUAUGAAUACUAAAGGUUCCCUCUCAACCUCUCUAGUGAUCAUGUGUUUUGACUUUAUCCCAUCUUUCUUCGUACAUGUUUCCACUACCAUUGGAUUUAGCUGUGUCGGCUCAUGACUAGCCGAGUGGGCUGUGAUUUCCUUAUUUGGAGGCCGACUAAGAUUUUGAAAUAUGAAACUUUGUUCUAUCACAAUAACUUGAGACAAUCCUCCUGCUCUUGAUCGAGGAAUGGAAUGAUCUUCUCACAUCAUCACAGCAAACUUUAAAGGUUUGAAUCCAAUUGUGUGUGAUUUUGUAGCUUGUUAUUUAUUCAUAGUAUUCCCAACUUAUUUUAUCAAAGUCAGCCCUAGUCACCCUGCAUCACUAUAGGUUAGAAGAAAUAAAAUACAAAGCCUUUUAAGCUGUUAGAAAUAGAAGUUGAUUACAAGUACAUGAUUUAUCUUCUAAUGUAUUUUUAAUAUUUUUUUUGUAUCAUUUUAUAAGUAUGGUCAUGCAAGAAUAAAUAGGAUCUUCAAUAAAUGGAACAAAGCUAGUUGAUGUAGAGAUUAUGUCUAGAACAAACACCAACUUUGUUGCAUAUUUUCAUGUGCUGUUGUAGUGACCAAUAAUGGAUGGCCAUUCUCACUGCCAGUUUUCCAACCAAUCUAAAAUGUGGGGAUUAUUGUUAUGGUAAGCAGUGGUCUUAUAUGGUCUUUUAAGCCAGUGAUGUAGGGUCCCAUGAAAAUUGGAUUCGAGGCCUUUGAGUUCAUAUGAAUAUCAACUUUAGAAAACUCAUUUUGUUCCUGCACUUUCACCAUAUUCAUGAUAACAUUUUUUCCAGGUUCUGAUCAUUUUUCUCCUUAGAAUUCCUUGAUUAGCUUUAGACAGAAAAAGCUAUUUAUGAGUGCAAUGAUUAUGACAAUGAUUUUCCUAUUCGUUCAGUUCUGAUGACUCGAAAGGUGUUUCUUGCACGAUCAGAAUAGUUGAUUUCUCCCUUCUAUAAAUCGUAUAAUUUACUUUUCUUCUUUGCACUUGGAAACAUGGAGCUCCAGCGAGAGGACAUCAACGACCCUUAUGUGGCCACCCUGAGAGGUGAGACACUCACCAGAAAGGCCUACAUCAGAAUCCAGGCAGUGCCUUAGCAGUUGGACGUGACCAGCCAGUCUCCAAGAUCACCCUCCAAGCCGCUAAAUGCUGACCAAAUGUCAUCCGAAGAGGGCAAGGAAAGUAAUAUUUCCGUUUUUAGCAAGGAAUUGUGUGCCCAUUCAUUGGCUCUUUCUCUCAGCACGUUUUUUUGGCUGUUGCGCAGACAUUUAUAGAUUGGAAGAGGCCUUCUCUUUAAUUGGUGUAUUUUCUGCACUGGCUUAUGAACCUCAUCAGGAUUAUGAUCACCUUAUGAGUCCAGUAGCAUCACAAAUGUCAUCAACUUAAU
rnacentral:lncRNA from 1 species